rnacentral:tRNA from 1 species
GUCCCUGGGGUGAAAAUGGUUAAUGUGUUUGGCUGCUAACUGAAAGGUUGGAGGUUCGAAUCCACUCAGAGGCA